rnacentral:sRNA from 1 species
UAUCGAUGAACGAAGACUAAGAACGCCACGUCCUGUGGCAAUGUCUUCAUGACCAACAUCCUGUAGG